CCUACGGGAGGCUGCAGUCGGGAAUUUUGGGCAAUGGGCGAAAGCCUGACCCAGCAACGCCGCGUGAAGGAUGAAGUAUUUCGGUAUGUAAACUUCGAAAGAAUGGGAAGAAUAAAUGACGGUACCAUUUAUAAGCUCCGGCUAACUACGUGCCAGCAGCCGCGGUAAUACGUAGGGAGCAAGCGUUGUUCGGAUUUACUGGGCGUAAAGGGCGCGUAGGCGGCGUGUUAAGUCAGCUGUGAAAUCUCCAAGCUUAACUUGGAACGGCCAGCUGAUACUGAUGUGCUAGAGUGCAGAAGGGGCAAUCGGAAUUCUUGGUGUAGCGGUGAAAUGCGUAGAUAUCAAGAGGAACACCUGAGGUGAAGACGGGUUGCUGGGCUGACACUGACGCUGAGGCGCGAAAGCCAGGGGAGCAAACGGGAUUAGAUACCCGAGUAGUC
rnacentral:rRNA from 1 species